rnacentral:rRNA from 1 species
GAUGAACGCUGGCGGCGUGCCUAAUACAUGCAAGUCGAGCGAACAGACGAGGAGCUUGCUCCUCUGACGUUAGCGGCGGACGGGUGAGUAACACGUGGAUAACCUACCUAUAAGACUGGGAUAACUUCGGGAAACCGGAGCUAAUACCGGAUAAUAUAUUGAACCGCAUGGUUCAAUAGUGAAAGACGGUUUUGCUGUCACUUAUAGAUGGAUCCGCGCCGCAUUAGCUAGUUGGUAAGGUAACGGCUUACCAAGGCGACGAUGCGUAGCCGACCUGAGAGGUUGAUCGGCCACACUGGAACUGAGACACGGUCCAGACUCCUACGGGAGGCAGCAGUAGGGAAUCUUCCGCAAUGGGCGAAAGCCUGACGGAGCAACGCCGCGUGAGUGAUGAAGGUCUUCGGAUCGUAAAACUCUGUUAUUAGGGAAGAACAAAUGUGUAAGUAACUAUGCACGUCUUGACGGUACCUAAUCAGAAAGCCACGGCUAACUACGUG